rnacentral:rRNA from 1 species
UACAGAGGUCUCAAGCGUUGUUCGGAUUCAUUGGGCGUAAAGGGUGCGUAGGCGGCGCGGUAAGUCGGGUGUGAAAUCUUGGAGCUUAACUCCGAAACUGCAUUCGAUACUGCCGUGCUUGAGGACUGGAGAGGAGACUGGAAUUUACGGUGUAGCGGUGAAAUGCGUAGAUAUCGUAAGGAAGACCAGUGGCGAAGGCGGGUCUCUGGACAGUUCCUGACGCUGAAGCACGAAGGCCCAGGGGGAGCAAAACGGGGA